rnacentral:rRNA from 1 species
GACGAACGCUGGCGGCGUGCUUAACACAUGCAAGUCGAACGGAAAGGCCCUGCUUUUGUGGGGUGCUCGAGUGGCGAACGGGUGAGUAACACGUGAGUAACCUGCCCUUGACUUUGGGAUAACUUCAGGAAACUGGGGCUAAUACCGGAUAGGAGCUCCUGCUGCAUGGUGGGGGUUGGAAAGUUUCGGCGGUUGGGGAUGGACUCGCGGCUUAUCAGCUUGUUGGUGGGGUAGUGGCUUACCAAGGCUUUGACGGGUAGCCGGCCUGAGAGGGUGACCGGCCACAUUGGGACUGAGAUACGGCCCAGACUCCUACGGGAGGCAGCAGUGGGGAAUAUUGCACAAUGGGCGGAAGCCUGAUGCAGCAACGCCGCGUGCGGGAUGACGGCCUUCGGGCUGUAAACCGCUUUCGCCUGUGACGAAGCGUGAGUGACGGUAAUGGGCAAAGAAGCACCGGCUAACUACGUG